CACUCCUGCGGGAGGCAGCAGUGGGGAAUUUUGGACAAUGGGCGAAAGCCUGAUCCAGCCAUGCCGCGUGCAGGAUGAAGGCCUUCGGGUUGUAAACUGCUUUUGUACGGAACGAAACGGCCUUUUCUAAUAAAGAGGGCUAAUGACGGUACCGUAAGAAUAAGCACCGGCUAACUACGUGCCAGCAGCCGCGGUAAUACGUAGGGUGCAAGCGUUAAUCGGAAUUACUGGGCGUAAAGCGUGCGCAGGCGGUUAUGUAAGACAGUUGUGAAAUCCCCGGGCUCAACCUGGGAACUGCAUCUGUGACUGCAUAGCUAGAGUACGGUAGAGGGGGAUGGAAUUCCGCGUGUAGCAGUGAAAUGCGUAGAUAUGCGGAGGAACACCGAUGGCGAAGGCAAUCCCCUGGACCUGUACUGACGCUCAUGCACGAAAGCGUGGGGAGCAAACAGGAUUAGAAACCCCUGUAGUCCCAUGA
rnacentral:rRNA from 1 species